AAGUCGUAACAAGGUUUCCGUAGGUGAACCUGCGGAAGGAUCAUUAUUGAAUUGUGUUUUCAAACACACCUGCUUGAUAGGUUGUCGCUGGCUCUUUAGAGCAUGUGCACGCCUGUCUUGACUCUAUUCAUCCACCUGUGCACCAUUUGUAGUCUUGGGGGAUGCAAGUAUCCAACUUGUCGGGCAACAUUAUUCCCGGAUGUGAGGACUGCAGUGCGAAAGCAUGGCUUUUCCCUCUACGGGUCGCAUGAACCCAAGUCUAUGUAUUUAUCCAUACACCAUGUAGUAUGUUGCAGAAUGUAUCACAUGGGCCUUUGUGCCUAUACAACUUUAUACAACUUUCAGCAACGGAUCUCUUGGCUCUC
rnacentral:misc_RNA from 1 species